GGAAGUCCACUUCAAUUCGACGCGGGCCAUGCAUAGCGACGUCUGCGAUCGCACUGCAGAGGUCAGGGGUUCGAUUCCCCUCGGCUCCACCA
rnacentral:tRNA from 1 species